UACGUAGGGUGCAGGCGUUAAUCGGAAUUACUGGGCGUAAAGCGUGCGCAGGCGGUUUCUUAAGUCAGAUGUGAAAGCCCCGGGCUUAACCUGGGAACUGCGUUUGAAACUGGGAGACUUGAGUGUGGCAGAGGGGGGUGGAAUUCCACGUGUAGCAGUGAAAUGCGUAGAUAUAUGGAGGAAUACCGGUGGCGAAGGCGGCCUCCUGGCUCGAUACUGACGCUGAGGUGCGAAAGCGUGGGGAUCAAACAGG
rnacentral:rRNA from 1 species